CCCUUUUAGCCAUUGCCCCCCAAAAAAAUAAGGAAAACCUAUGGACAAUGCCCGCGAAACAAAUUGCAAAUUCGGUCUAAAACCAUAAAAACAAAACCCUACCAAAACAAAUCAGAAAACCCAAAUAUCACUCUCUGGCUCACUCCACCGUGUCACCGCCGUUGGCGUCUCCACCUCUCCAGUCGAGAUCAUGGGAAAGUCAACUACAAUAUUUGAUUAUUUCAAAAGACAAAAAACAGAUAAUUUAGAAGCCAAAACUGAUGAUCCCGCGUUGCCGAGUGCCAGUGUUGAUGAUGUCCCAAUUUCUGAAAAUCCCAACUCAUUUCAUAGAGUUUUGGAGAGCUCGUGUGAGUUUAAUCAAGUGCUUGACAAUUUCACUUCUGAACAAAUUGCAAAUGACCGGCUGCUAUUAAAGGUCACCAUUGAUGUUGUCAAAUUGCUUGCAUUCCAAGGUCUUCUGUUUGAUGAUUUCACUGGUUUAAUCAGUCACGAAAAAUUCCGUUCACUUUUGGAUAUGGUGGCAUCAUUUAAUGAAAAGGUUACUGAAGUGAUGAAUAGAGCUCCUGAGAAUGCGUGUUACAAAUUACCUGAUAUCCAAAAAGAAAUUUUACAUGUUUUUUCAAACAAGGUGAGAAAGGCAAUUCGCGAAGAAAUUGGUGAUGCAAAGUUUUGCAUAAUUGUUGAUAAAUUUUAUGAUGUGUCAUGGAAUGAUAUAAUUGCUAUUGUUUUAAGGUUUGUAGACAAAGACGGCUUUGUGCAGGAACGUUUUUUUGGGUUAGUUCGUGUCUCCAACUUUUCGGCAUUAACCCUAAAAGAUGGGAUAUAUUCUGUUUUGUCUCAUCAUUGUCUAAAUAUCCAAAAUAUUCGAGGACAGGGGUAUAAUAGGGCAAGUAAUAUGAGAGGGGAGUGGAGUGGAUUACAAGCUUUAGUUUCAAAUGAUUGUCCAUAUGCUUACCAUGUCCAUUGUUUUGUACAUUGCAUGCAAUUAGCGAUAGCGGCAGCAUCAAAGAACGUUAUCCCUGUUCAAAGUUUUUUCAUGAAAUUAACUUCUGUUGUCAAUGUUGUUGGUGAGUGUAAUGAGAAACUAAAAAGUUCUUAUGCUGCUGAAAUUGCACAUAUGAUUGACAUGGUUGAGCUUGAAUCUGGAAGGGGAUUUGAUGAGAUUAGCACUUUGCAAUGGGCUGGAGAUACUCGUCGGAGUUCUCACUUGAAAUCGUUUUCUAGCUUGAUAAAAAUAUUCAAUCCAAUAUGUGAAAUUUUACUUGAGGUCAUUGAUGACGGAACUAGUUCCCAACGAGGAGAAGCAGACUUAGCUUAUGAGGAAUUGACAUCAUUUGAAUUUGUGUUCAUUUUGCAUCUAAUGAAAGAAGUUAUGGAGAUCACUAAUCCGUUUUGUCAAGCUUUGCAAUUCCAGUCUCCAAACAUUUUAAAUGUCUUGCAUUUUGUUUCAUCCACUAAAGUACUUAUCCAAAAAUUCAGAGAUGAUGGAUGGGAUGGCUUACUUACCACUGUGAAAUCAUUUUGUAAGGCAUGCAACAUAGAUGUCCCAGAUAUGAAUGCUCGUUAUGUUCGGUUUCGAGGUCUAGCUCGUCAUCAAAAAGAUUACUUUACAAUUGAGCAUCAUUACCGAGUAAAUAUUUUUAAUGCUACAAUAGAUUCUAUAGUUCAAGAAUUAAAUCGUCGGUUUAGUGAGCAUGUAGUGGAACUACUUCGUCUUAGCUCAGCUCUUGAUCCUAGAGAAGCAUGUGAAUCUUUUAGAAUCGAAGAUAUUUUAUUGUUGGUAAACAAGUUUUAUCCACAAGACUUCACAGACCAUGAAAAGCAACAACUGAAAGUGGAACUUGAUCAUUAUGAGCAUGAUGUAGUUCGGCAUCUGGACUUCAAAAAGCUGUCAACUAUUUCUGAAUUGUGCCAAUGGUUGGUAAAAACUAGAAAAUCAAUAGACUACCAUCUUGUUUAUAGAGUGGUUAUACUUGUGCUUACUCUUCCAAUUUCUAUUGCAACUACGGAGCGAGCAUUUUCAGCCAUGAAUAUUGUCAAAACUUGGCUUGUAGACAAAGUGCAAGAUGAUUUUCUGGCGGACUCUUUGAUUUUGUAUAUGGAGAGGGAGACUGCUGCAAAAUUUAGUUUGGAAUCAAUCAUCGAUGAUUUUCAAGAUUUCAAAGAACGUCGAGUUCCAUUUUGAUAGACAAGUAUUAAUUUAUGGCUGGGACUGGGAGGUUCUCUCCUCUUUCUGCCAUGGCUUAUUAAUUGAAGCUUCAUUCAGUCAUUUGGGUGCUCAGAAUUGAAGCUAUAAGCAGAUUGCUGAUUUGUCUUCUUUGUACUUGCAUUACAUGCAGUGAAAGCCACCAACAUCGGGAUGCAAUUAGCAGAUAGGCAAGUUGGGUUUCUAUUAUCUGCUCAGUUUAUCCAUAUUCAUCCAUUUGUAGAUAGCGAUCACUUCAUCCACAAGGAUUUCAUGCCACAAGAAUAUGCUAUACUAGUACCCGUUUUUGCCAGUGUGGUGCGUCUCUGUUUCUUAUGUGUGUUUAUUGGAUUAGUGAUGCUCAAAUCCAAAAAGAAGGCUUGAUGCAAAAUUUCUUCCAUUUUUCACUUCUGCGGAGAGUAACUUAGAAAUUUACUUAUUUUCCUUGUUUGUUUUUCCUCCCCCAACACAUUUUCUAGUCUGGAUGAUUGUUUAGUUUUGGAUUUGCUGCAGCUUGCAGAUUUUGUAUAUCGGUAUCAUUUCUAAUACUAUUGGAAGCUCACAUGUCA